rnacentral:rRNA from 1 species
GACGUAGGGCGCGAGCGUUGUCCGGAUUUAUUGGGCGUAAAGAGCUCGUAGGCGGCUCGUUGCGUCAACCGUGAAAACCCGGGGCUUAACUUCGGGCUUGCGGUUGAUACGGGCGGGCUGGAGUUCGGUAGGGGAGACUGGAAUUCCCGGUGUAGCGGUGAAAUGCGCAGAUAUCAGGAGGAACACCGGUGGCGAAGGCGGGUCUCUGGGCCGAUACUGACGCUGAGGAGCGAAAGCGUGGGGAGCGAACAGG